GCGGGCAUCGUAUAAUGGCUAUUACCUCAGCCUUCCAAGCUGAUGGUGCGGGUUCGAUUCCCGCUGCCCGCUCCA
rnacentral:tRNA from 2 species